rnacentral:rRNA from 1 species
UAGGUGGCAGCCGCCGCGGUAAUACCGGCGGCUCGAGUGGUGGCCACUUUAUUGGGCUUAAAGCGUUCGUAGCUGGGUAUUAAGUCCCUUGGGAAAUCCGACAGCUUAACUGUCGGGCGUCUAAGAGAUACUGGUAAUCUUGGAACCGGGAGAGGUGAGGGGGUACUUCGGGGGGUAGGAGUGAAAUCCUGUAAUCCUCGAGGGACCACCUGUGGCGAAGGCGCCUCACCAGAACGGCUUCGACAGUGAGGGACGAAAGCUGGGGGAGCAAACCGGAUUAGAUACCCGGGUAGUCCCAGCCGUAAACGAUGUGCGUUAGGUGUAUCGGUGACCACGAGUCACCGAGGUGCCGAAGGGAAACCGUGAAACGUACCGCCUGGGAAGUACGGUCGCAAGGCUGAAACUUAAAGGAAUUGGCGGGGGAGCACCACAACAGGUGGAGCCUGCGGGUUUUAAAUUGGACUCAACGCCGGAAAUCUCACCGGAUAAGACAGCAGAAUGAUUGCCGGGCUGAAGACUCUGCAUGACUAGCUGAGUGGUGGUGCAUGG